rnacentral:rRNA from 1 species
ACGCUCGACACCUACGGGAGGCGGCAGUGGGGAAUAUUGCACAAUGGGGGAAACCCUGAUGCAGCGACGCCGCGUGAGCGAAGAAGUAUUUCGGUAUGUAAAGCUCUAUCAGCAGGGAAGAAAAUGACGGUACCUGACUAAGAAGCCCCGGCUAACUACGUGCCAGCAGCCGCGGUAAUCUGAGCGGGCUGGCAAGGC